UAACAGUGAUAAUCAUCACUGGCAUUUUGUGCAGUCUCUCAUGAGCCUGGCACAGUGCUAAAUACUGUGUGUAUGACUAGUUCUCCCAACAACCUGCCAAGGGGGAUGAUCAUCCCCUUCAGAAAAGAAAACUGUGAUUUGGAUAGAUGAAGUAAUUAAUGCUAUUCACUAAGGCCGAGGGAGAUUAGAAUCUAGGUGUGUCUGGCUUCCAAGCACUAACCUUUUCUGGCAUUCUGGCUGCUUCCCUUUACAGGGAGAUGAUAGGGUCCUUCUGGUCAGCUGGUCUCUUUGAUGCGGGUUGGUUUCCUCAACCUACCACACCUGGUACACGUACGUCAUGCAUGUGGCAGUGAAUGGAGGAAGAGGCAGGACUCUGUGGGUUCCUCCCCAACAAGUACCCCAGAGUUUUUGUUUUGUUUUGUUUUUACCCCAGAGUUUUUAACCAGCAAGCCUGGACACUUCCGUGAUCUUCACUUCACCCAGUUUGGAGGACUUUCUGCUACUCAAGUAGGGUUUCUCACACAGAAGGAUUUCCUCAAAUGAAGGAGUCAAAAAACGGGACCAGGGACCCAGGACUUGCUGUGACAUCUUUAUACUGACCCACGCCAGUAAACUAUUUCCUGAAAAAUCAAUACACAUUUACUGAGCUCCAGGAAUGAACAGGACAAAUUACUACUAACCAUGGUGAUUGCCUGGUUCUCUGCACCCAUCUUUGGAGGCAUUCCCAGCCUUCUGAUAUAUUCAAACAGUCUGACCUGUACAUAUUGAUCUUCUGACGAGGGAGAAGCUAAGCACCUCACCUGAAGGACCUGUGGGAGCUCUUGAAAGUCAACGGACUUGACCCGAGUCAUUAUGGGAACUGUGGUCACUCUGACAGGCUCAGAUGGGACCUGGAGCUACAGAGGUGAGCCCUGUGCCCCAGGAAGAAGUGGGGGCCCAUACAGCUUGGAAUUUAGGUGCACUCUUCCUUGCCUUACCUGCCCGUAAAGGAGUGUAGGGUAUGAUUUUAGGAGUACCUAAAGCCUCCUGAGCCCUUCCCUACCAAUUGGUUCUUGUACCUACUGCCAAAGGCUGAAAUUGCCUCUCUGAGAACUAAUGAUACAAAAUCCUCUGGAAUGUAAGU